GAAAUGCGAUAAGUAGUGUGAAUUGCAGAAUUCAGUGAAUCAUCGAAUCUUUGAACGCACAUUGCGCCCCUUGGUAUUCCAUGGGGCAUGCCUGUUCGAGCGUCACUUGUACCCUCAAGCUCUGCUUGGUGUUGGGUGUUUGUCCCCGUCUCCGCGCGUGGACUCGCCCCAAAGUGAUUGGCAGCCGGCGUACUGGUCCCGGAGCGCAGCACAUGUCGCGCAAACGAGUGCCUUGGUACGGCGGCGUCCAUAAGCCCCUCUCUCACGCUCUUGACCUCGGAUCAGGUAGGGAUACCCGCUGAACUUAAGC
rnacentral:misc_RNA from 1 species